UACAGAGGGCGCGAGCGUUGUUCGGAAUUACUGGGCGUAAAGGGCUCGUAGGUGGCCAACUAAGUCAGACGUGAAAUCCCCAGGCUCAACUUGGGAACUGCGUCUGAUACUGGAUGGCUUGAAUUCGGGAGAGGGAUGCAGAAUUCCAGGUGUAGCGGUGAAAUGCGUAGAUAUCUGGAGGAAUACCGGUGGCGAAGGCGGCAUCCUGGACCGAUAUUGACACUGAGGAGCGAAAGCCAGGGGAGCAAACGGG
rnacentral:rRNA from 1 species